CAGCCGCCUUGUAAAAUGAAUGAAGAUAGACCUGGGGACUCACAGAACCUUGCUUGAGUUUUCUGUCGAAAAAAUGAUGACUGUCCUAAUAAAUAUGGAGAAAAGAAAACUUAUGAGAAAUGGAAUCUCACUGUACAUUACUAUUGUUUGUUAAUGUCCAGUGGAAUUUGGCAGAGAGGUAAAGAAGAAGAAGGAGUUUAUGGUUUUCUAAUUGAAGACAUCAGGAAGGAAGUAAAUAGAGCUUCUAAACUGAAAUGUUGUAUUUGCAAGAAAACUGGUGCUUCAACUGGAUGCGUUGCCCCCCGAUGUAAACGAAGUUAUCAUUUCCCUUGUGGACUUCAGAAAGAAUGUAUUUUCCAGUUCACUGGCAAUUUUGUGUCAUUUUGUUGGAACCAUGGACCUGUUCAAAUCAUUACAUCUAAUAGUUAUAGAGAAUCCUUACCAUGCACCAUUUGCUUGGAAUUUAUUGAGCCUAUUCCAACUUAUAGCAUAUUACGAAGUCCUUGUUGUAAGAAUGCUUGGUUUCAUAGAGAGUGUUUAUAGGUUCAAGCAAUAAAUUCGGGAGUAUUUUUCUUUAGGUGUACAAUAUGCAACAAUAGUGACAUCUUUCAGAAAGAGAUGUUGAGAAUGGGGAUUCAUAUUCCUGAAAAAGAUGCAUCUUGGGAAUUAGAGGAAAAUGCUUAUCAAGAGCUUCUGCAGCACUAUGAGCAUUGUGAUGUCCGAAGGUGUCGUUGCAAAGAAGGGCGAGACUAUAAUGUACCUGAUAGCAAAUGGGAAAUAAAGCGAUGUCAGUGUUGUGGUUCCAGUGGAACACAUUUAGCCUGUUCCUCACUGCGAUCAUGGGAAGAAAAUUGGGAGUGUUUGGAACGUAGAGGUAUUAUCUACAAUUCAGGAGAGUUCCAAAAAGCCAAAAAACAUGCAUUACCCAACUCUAAUGUGGGAAUUACUGAUUGUUUAUUGGAAGAGUCAUCACCUAAAUUACCCAGACAGUCACCUGGAGCCCAGAGUAAAGAUCUACUAAGGCAAGGCAGCAAAUUUAGAAGAGACAUUUCUGCUAUACUGAUAGAGUUAGGAUUCCAAAUUAAAAAAAAAAAAAAACUAAAAGAUUGUAUAUCAACAAAGCCAAUAUCUGGAAUAGUGCCUUAGAUGGAUUCAGAAAUCAAAACUUUAAUCCUUCAUAUGCAAUUGAAGU